UACGUAGGGUGCGAGCGUUGUCCGGAAUUAUUGGGCGUAAAGAGCUCGUAGGCGGUGUGUCGCGUCGGCCGUGAAAACCUGCAGCUUAACUGUGGGCUUGCGGUCGAUACGGGCAUCACUGGAGUUCGGCAGGGGAGACUGGAAUUCCUGGUGUAGCGGUGAAAUGCGCAGAUAUCAGGAGGAACACCGGUGGCGAAGGCGGGUCUCUGGGCCGAUACUGACGUGGAGGAGCGAAAGCGUGGGGAGCGAACAGG
rnacentral:rRNA from 1 species